GGGCAGGGCCAUCCCUGGGGACAGGGGCACUGGGGCAGCUGUGUCCCAGGGCCAGCCCAGUGUGGAGCCAGAGCCCUGCUGGGCUGCCAGUCCCUGGCCCCCCCUGCCUGGACCAGCUCAGCAGAGCGGGUUCCGGCUGAUGCGGGAGGACACGCCUCAACCAGCGCUGCCCAGGCCCAGAGGAAGAUGAAGGUCGCUGUGCUCAGCGUGGCCCUGCUCUUCACCAUCCUGCUGAGCCCCCCGGCAGAUGCCAAGCCCGUCCAGGCCGGUGGUGUCCAAUGUGGGGAGGCAGGUGUGAUCGGCGGCCCGCCAAUCGCAGGACAAGGAGGAGGUGGAU